rnacentral:rRNA from 1 species
GAUGAACGCUGGCGGCGUGCCUAAUACAUGCAAGUCGAGCGAACAGACGAGGAGCUUGCUCCUCUGACGUUAGCGGCGGACGGGUGAGUAACACGUGGAUAACCUACCUAUAAGACUGGGUUAAUUUCGGGAAACCGGAGUUAUUCCCGGUUAAUUUAUUGAACCGCUUGUUUCAUUAUUGAAAGCCGUUUUUGCUUUCACUUUUAGAUGGAUCCCCGCCGCAUUAGCUAGUUGGUAAGGUAACGGCUUACCAAGGCAACGAUGCGUAGCCGACCUGAGAGGGUGAUCGGCCACACUGGAACUGAGACACGGUCCAGACUCCUACGGGAGGCAGCAGUAGGGAAUCUUCCGCAAUGGGCGAAAGCCUGACGGAGCAACGCCGCGUGAGUGAUGAAGGUCUUCGGAUCGUAAAACUCUGUUAUUAGGGAAGAACAAAUGUGUAAGUAACUAUGCACGUCUUGACGGUACCUAAUCAGAAAGCCACGGCUAACUACGUG